rnacentral:rRNA from 1 species
AUUGAACGGCGGCGGAAUGCUUUACACAUGCAAGUCGAACGGCAGCACGGAGAGCUUGCUCUCUGGUGGCGAGUGGCGAACGGGUGAGUAAUAUAUCGGAACGUAUCCAAUAAUGGGGGAUAACGAGUCGAAAGAUUCGCUAAUACCGCAUACGCCCUACGGGGGAAAGCAGGGGAUCGUAAGACCUUGCGUUAAUGGAGCGGCCGAUAUCUGAUUAGCUUGUUGGUGAGGUAAAGGCUCACCAAGGCGACGAUCAGUAGCUGGUUUGAGAGAACGACCAGCCACACUGGAACUGAGACACGGUCCAGACUCCUACGGGAGGCAGCAGUGGGGAAUUUUGGACAAUGGGGGCAACCCUGAUCCAGCCAUUCCGCGUGAGUGAAGAAGGCCUUCGGGUUGUAAAGCUCUUUCGCAAGGGAAGAAAACUUAUGAUCGAAUAAAUCAUGAGGUUGACGGUACCUUGAUAAGAAGCACCGGCUAACUACGUGCCAGCAGCCGCGGUAAUACGUAGGGUGCGAGCGUUAAUCGGAAUUACUGGGCGUAAAGCGUGCGCAGGCGGUUUUGUAAGUCGGAUGUGAAAUCCCCGGGCUCAACCUGGGAACUGCGUUCGAAACUGCAAGGCUAGAGUGUGUCAGAGGGGGGUAGAAUUCCACGUGUAGCAGUGAAAUGCGUAGAGAUGUGGAGGAAUACCAAUGGCGAAGGCAGCCCCCUGGGAUAACAC